UACGUAGGGUGCAAGCGUUGUCCGGAAUUAUUGGGCGUAAAGAGCUUGUAGGCGGUUUGUCGCGUCUGCUGUGAAAUUUCGGGGCUCAACCCCGAACUUGCAGUGGGUACGGGCAGACUAGAGUGUGGUAGGGGAGACUGGAAUUCCUGGUGUAGCGGUGAAAUGCGCAGAGAUCGGGAGGAACACCCGUAGCGAAGGCGGCACUCUGGGCCGUGACUGACGCUGAGGAGCGAAAGCGUGGGGAGCAAACAGG
rnacentral:rRNA from 1 species